GUUGAGGAGAAUCGUUUAUACAUAAGAUCUGCUUGCACAACAGUCGAAACUAACACAUAGAGAGAUAUCAUAUGUAAAUGAUAAAAAGAACGAGAUACUAGUACUUGAUUAGAUAAACGAUAUUUAUUGAACAUUUAAUUUUAAUAUGUAGUAUUAAAUUACCCGUUUCUCUCGCGUGAUUAUGGAGCAGUAAUGAAUCAGACAAACAAGCGGAAAUAUUCUAGACGGUGGUCCGCGGCGGCUGUAUUGCGUGCCCGUGCACUGCGUCAUUCCUUGUCCUCCCUUUCCCAUCAUCGGAUUCCACCGACGCACGCGCGCGCCACCGCGGCUCCCCGGCGCUGCGCAAUGGACGCCGUCGCGUUCCCGCCGCCGCCCGCGCCGUUCCUCGACGACGACCUCGAUUUCGGGGACUUCACCUUCGCCUCCGCGCCGCAGCCGCAGCCGCAGCCGCCCACCGCCGCCUUCGACGACGACUGGGGCGACUUUGUGGCAAGCGGGCUCGGAUCCGACGCGGGCGCAUCUGCCCCGACGGACGCGCCAGCCGCCGCUCCCUCCUCCUCGCCUUGGGAGAAGCCGCGGGGCCCGCUGCCCCUCUCCCUGUUCGGCGCCGAUGCCGACGACGACGGCCAGGAGGAGGAGGAAGGGCCGGCCGGGCCGCCGCCGAUGGACACGGCGCCCCAGUGCGCUCCGUCCGUCCCGUCCAACGGGUCGCGCCCCGCGGAUCUGAAGGACCUCAUCGCUGGCCUCUACGGAUAUCAGCCGCCCCACACCGCCGACGCGGUCCCGCAGGUGAAGGCGGAGGAGGAUGACCAAGGGUUUGGAGACGAUGAUUGGGAAUUCACGGCGGCGACGGGGCAACCUGCUGCUGAUCAGGAUGGAGGCGGACCAGGGCAUGCGGAUGGAUUUGGUAAGAUCGAGGAUAUAUCGAAGUCAUUGAGCACCGACCAGGAAGACUGGUCAUCGUUUACCAGUGCCGAUGGCAAAUUGAACCAUGUUCGUCUAACAACCGAUGGUCUUGGGAAUCAUGAGUCCACUGGAGAAUUUGUGAGGGCCUCCACUUAUUCACCAGCUAAUAGUUCGGCCAUACUCAACCUGUACAAAGGAAGCAAACGGGUUGAUGAUGUUGUCAUUGCCCAAGGCUCUGCAGAAAGUGUCCAGAGUUCAUCUGAUCUGUUUUCUAAUAAUGAAAUGAACUCUUCACUUGAAACAGAUGACAACCAUUCCAGUAGAUCAACAAGUGAUUGCAUUUUGAUUGAAUUCUACCAAAGACUGAGAGAAGAGUCCUUGACAGCAAUAUCCCGGCACGUGAAGGAUCUUAGGGGAGCACAGAAGGGAUCUACAAUCUCUGAUGAAAACAACAAAGCGACUGCAAUGGGAGGGGAUAUUCAGGAAAUAUAUGACAAACUAAAAGAUUCUUCAUUGCCCGAAGGCUUUUUCACAGAGGAACAGCCUUGGAAGGAUAUAUAUAUCACAGAACUCCUUAAUUGUAUCAAAGAGGAACAUCUGAAGGAUUUUGAACAAGAGUAUUGUUUAGCAGAAAAGAUAGAAGGGGUAUGUAUCAUACUAUUAUUGUCUAUGUCACGCAACGGAGGACACAGAUAUUGCAGUUGAACUUUAUAAGCUCAGUAUUUCCACCCUAGAUCUAUUGAAACUAGCAUCCAAAGAGGAACAGGGUGAUUAUGUCGGUGCAUGGUACAGUAUGCUUCUGUCCUGUGCUCAAGAAUUGAAGCAUGGCGUGGCACUUUGGCAAGAGUUUUAUCAUGCAAAUGUCUGCGACAGAGUAGUUUCUGAAGGCGGUCACUACUUUAUUGCUCUUGGGGAGAUAUAUAGAGUUGCACAGAUUUUAUACUUAUCCUUGCAGCGUUUCAAGCCCUGGGUUCUUGCAGAUCCUGGAAUGUUGAGUAAAAUGUUGUCUUGUUUGGACAGCUGCACUUAUGCUUGGACUAGUGGUCUGGAAACGGCUCUUAAGAUGGUCAUUGACAGCAGUCACAUAGAUUCAUCCCUUGCUAAAGCUCUGAUGGAGUCCAUUAAGAAUAUUACAAAACUUGAGGUGCCCAAUCUACAAAAAAAUAUUCCCAACAAUGAGAUGCAAUGUAGACUAACUCUCUUGCCAAGUAGUCUUCUGCCAGGAUUGAACUUGGUCAUUUGGAAUGGUGGUCACUAUUUUGUUAAAGUCGCAAAUCUGUGGGCAAAUCGGAUAUCUCCUGAUCCUCCUCUUCUGCCAAGCAACCCCACCUCUUCAAUGAACAAUGCAGCAACACACAGCCAGUCAUGCUGAAUAACAUGUCAAACAUCUGAGGCUGUGACCUACACUCUGAUGGAAGCAUCAAAUGCAUGUUGUGUAAAACAUAUUCGUCAAGUUAUCUUUUUUAUAUACGUAAACUGAGCAAGCACCGUGCUGAUUGAGGGCUGUUCUUGGAAGAUAGAGAUCCAAGGUGACUGUUCCUUUGCAGGUCAUUCUUUUGUACAAGUUGUAAUUUACAACAUUCUUUCCAUAGUGCCGGAUGAUGUCACUAAGUAUAGCAAGUCGAAAGGGAAUGACAAGUUUGGAAGUGGACGUCUGGUAUAAUGUGUAGAUUAUCAAAGCUGAGAAUUGGAAUACGGAUCGUGGAAACUGUCACUCUUUUGCUAGGUUAAUAUUAUGGGCUUUGCUGUGUUUUGCUAGAUCAGUUGGUAUUC